GUGCUUCCUUCAGCAGCACAUAAACUAAAAUUGGAAUGAUACAGAGAUUAGCAUGGCCCCUAUACAAGGAGGACAUGCAAAUCUGUGAAGCAUUCUAUAUUUAA